GGCUGUCCACUGUCCCAAGCCCUCGCAUGUCCUGGAUGGCCGGUCAUCAUCCACACGGGGGCUGAAAGGCCCGGCUCCAGCACUCCUGUGGUCAUCAUCCUGCUGAAUCACUUUGAACUACCCUUGGCCUAACCGCGACUCCCAUCCCGCUUCCCUCCUGCCUCGCCACUGCAGGCCUGUCCCUUUGCUUUCUUAAAACUGCGCACCGUCUGAGGCCACUUCGAGCCUACUGGAUCCCUGGUUCCGACCCAGUAGGAUCACAGAAGCAGGGCCAGCUGCCAGGCUUCUGCAAAAGACUUGAGACAGCUCACAAUGAAGUACUCUGUAUUAGGCAGGGUAAUAUUGAUUGCAAGUGACAGAAACCCAAUCAGAAACUCACUGGAGUCAUGAGGAACACUUAUUGGCUCAGAGUAAAGGCAUGGACCUUCAGAGAAAUAAAGUCUGGGAAAUUGACUAGAUCCUCACUGAAAGAACUACUAAAGGAUGUACUUAUGGAAGAAGAAAAUUACAAAGUGAAAGAACUGGGAUGCAAGAAGUAAUGGUGAGCAUGGAAUUUGGCAAAGAUUCAAGUAAAACAAAGCAAGGAGUGAAUAUAUAAAAUCAUAAUCAUAACAAAUUUUGACUAUUAUAUGUAACAGCCAAUCUCUUAACUGGGUCAUAAUAAGAAAGUGAAAGGCAGAAAAAAUGACAAAAAGAAUAAUUAGAAUGUUAAUAAGAAGAGUAACAAGAUUUUGAAAAAUUUGUGCUGGUUGAUAUCAACUUUUGGCACUUUUCUCUUUUUCUAUACUGUUAACAUAAUUAAUGAAAAAAUAAUAAUUCAUACUUCAAAAAAUUUAAGAAGUUGCACAUAUUUUCAUUUGAAAUAGUAUAAGCAUUUUACAAAUGUUAUUUUAAGCUUUAAAAAGUGAGUAAAAUUAAUAACCAAAUGGUGGAAGCAACCCAAGUAUCCAUCAAUAGAUGAAUGAAUAAACGAAAGGUAGUAUGUUUAUACAAUGGAAUAUUAU
rnacentral:antisense_RNA from 1 species